CAACCCACUACAAGCGCUUUAUUGUGAAGAUGUUCACGUUUGUGGAUCCAGCAUCACUGGCUCCUUUGCAGGAAACGAUCUUCAUCCACUGUAGUACAGCAGUGUGCCAUCCAUCUUCUGGCUCCUGUGAGCAAAGCUGCGGCAGGAAGAG